rnacentral:rRNA from 1 species
GGGGCCUACGGGAGGCAGCAGUGGGGAAUUUUGGACAAUGGGCGCAAGCCUGAUCCAGCCAUGCCGCGUGCGGGAAGAAGGCCUUCGGGUUGUAAACCGCUUUUGUCAGGGAAGAAACGGUCUGAGUUAAUACCUCAGACUAAUGACGGUACCUGAAGAAUAAGCACCGGCUAACUACGUGCCAGCAGCCGCGGUAAU